rnacentral:rRNA from 1 species
AGAAGUAGGUAGCUUAACCUUCGGGAGGGCGCUUACCACUUUGUGAUUCAUGACUGGGGUGAAGUCGUAACAAGGUAACCGUAGGGGAACCUGCGGUUGGAUCACCUCCUUACCUUAAAGAACCUGCCUUUGUAGUGCUCACACAGAUUGUCUGAUGAACGUAAAGAAGCAAGGCGUCUUGCGAUUGAGACUUCAGUGUCCCCUUCGUCUAGAGGCCCAGGACACCGCCCUUUCACGGCGGUAACAGGGGUUCGAAUCCCCUAGGGGACGCCACUUGCUGGUUCGUGAGUGAAAGACGCGUGCCGAACUAUCUCAAAACUCAUCUUCGGGUGAUGUUUGAGAUAUUUGCUCUUUAAAAAUCUGGAUCAAGCUGAAAAUUGAAACGACACACAGUNGUGAAAUCCCCGGGCUCAACCUGGGAACUGCAUUCGAAACUGGCAGGCUAGAGUCUUGUAGAGGGGGGUAGAAUUCCAGGUGUAGCGGUGAAAUGCGUAGAGAUCUGGAGGAAUACCGGUGGCGAAGGCGGCCCCCUGGACAAAGACUGACGCUCAGGUGCGAAAGCGUGGGGAGCAAACAGGAUUAGAUACCCUGGUAGUCCACGCCGUAAACGAUGUCGAUUUGGAGGUUGUGCCCUUGAGGCGUGGCUUCCGGAGCUAACGCGUUAAAUCGACCGCCUGGGGAGUACGGCCGCAAGGUUAAAACUCAAAUGAAUUGACGGGGGCCCGCACAAGCGGUGGAGCAUGUGGUUUAAUUCGAUGCAACGCGAAGAACCUUACCUGGUCUUGACAUCCACAGAACUUUCCAGAGAUGGAUUGGUGCCUUCGGGAACUGUGAGACAGGUGCUGCAUGGCUGUCGUCAGCUCGUGUUGUGAAAUGUUGGGUUAAGUCCCGCAACGAGCGCAACCCUUAUCCUUUGUUGCCAGCGGUUCGGCCGGGAACUCAAAGGAGACUGCCAGUGAUAAACUGGAGGAAGGUGGGGAUGACGUCAAGUCAUCAUGGCCCUUACGACCAGGGCUACACACGUGCUACAAUGGCAUAUACAAAGAGAAGCGACCUCGCGAGAGCAAGCGGACCUCAUAAAGUAUGUCGUAGUCCGGAUUGGAGUCUGCAACUCGACUCCAUGAAGUCGGAAUCGCUAGUAAUCGUAGAUCAGAAUGCUACGGUGAAUACGUUCCCGGGCCUUGUACACACCGCCCGUCACACCAUGGGAGUGGGUUGCAAAAGAAGUAGGUAGCUUAACCUUCGGGAGGGCGCUUACCACUUUGUGAUUCAUGACUGGGGUGAAGUCGUAACAAGGUAACCGUAGGGGAACCUGCGGUUGGAUCACCU